UGCCAGCCGCCGCGGUAAUACGGAGGGAGCGAGCGUUAAUCGGAAUUACUGGGCGUAAAGCGCGCGUAGGCGGCUUUGUAAGUCGGAUGUGAAAGCCCCGGGCUCAACCUGGGAAUGGCAUUCGAUACUGCAUAGCUAGAGUAUGGUAGAGGGAAGUGGAAUUUCCGGUGUAGCGGUGAAAUGCGUAGAUAUCGGAAGGAACACCAGUGGCGAAGGCGACUAACUGGCUCGGUACUGACGCUGAGAUGCGAAAGCGUGGGGAGCAAACAGGAUUAGAUA
rnacentral:rRNA from 1 species